UGCCCCGUGGUACCAUGACCCGGCAUCGGGAUAUGGUUAAAGCCUUCGGGCGGUACAAGAUGGCCAUGCGUCCCAUUAGUUUGUUGGUAAGGUAACGGCUUACCAAGACUACGAUGGGUAGGGGCCCUGAGAGGGGGAUCCCCCACACUGGUACUGAGACACGGACCAGACUCCUACGGGAGGCAGCAGUGAGGAAUAUUGGACAAUGGAGGAGACUCUGAUCCAGCCAUGCCGCGUGCAGGAAGAAUGCCCUAUGGGUAGUAAACUGCUUUUAUACGGGAAGAAAAAGAGCUACGUGUAGGUUACUGACGGUACCGUAAGAAUAAGGACCGGCUAACUCCGUGCCAGCAGCCGCGGUAAUACGGAGGGUCCGAGCGUUAUCCGGAAUUAUUGGGUUUAAAGGGUCCGUAGGCGGGCCGAUAAGUCAGGGGUGAAAGUCUGCCGCUCAACGGUAGAACUGCCUUUGAUACUGUCGGUCUUGAGUUAUAGUGAAGUUGCCGGAAUAUGUAGUGUAGCGGUGAAAUGCAUAGAUAUUACAUAGAACACCGAUUGCGAAGGCAGGUGACUAACUAUAUACUGACGCUGAUGGACGAAAGCGUGGGGAGCGAACAGGAUUAGAUACCCUGGUAGUCCACGCCGUAAACGAUGGAUACUAGCUGUCCGGAACCUUGAGUUCUGGGCGGCCAAGCGAAAGUGAUAAGUAUCCCACCUGGGGAGUACGUUCGCAAGAAUGA
rnacentral:rRNA from 1 species